rnacentral:rRNA from 1 species
GACGAACGCUGGCGGCGUGCUUAACACAUGCAAGUCGAACGGAAAGGCCCUGCUUUUUUGGGGUGCUCGAGUGGCGAACGGGUGAGUAACACGUGAGUAACCUGCCCUUGACUUUGGGAUAACUUCAGGAAACUGGGGCUAAUACCGGAUAGGAGCUCCUGCUGCAUGGUGGGGGUUGGAAAGUUUCGGCGGUUGGGGAUGGACUCGCGGCUUAUCAGCUUGUUGGUGGGGUAGUGGCUUACCAAGGCUUUGACGGGUAGCCGGCCUGAGAGGGUGACCGGCCACAUUGGGACUGAGAUACGGCCCAGACUUCUACGGGAGGCAGCAGUGGGGAAUAUUGCACAAUGGGCGGAAGCCUGAUGCAGAAACGCCGCGUGCGGGAUGACGGCCUUCGGGUUGUAAACCGCUUUCGCCUGUGACGAAGCGUGAGUGACGGUAAUGGGUAAAGAAGCACCGGCUAACUACGUG